UACAGAGGUCCCAAGCGUUGUUCGGAUUCAUUGGGCGUAAAGGGUGCGUAGGCGGCGCGGUAAGUCGGGUGUGAAAUCUCGGGGCUUAACUCCGAAACUGCAUUCGAUACUGCCGUGCUUGAGGACUGGAGAGGAGACUGGAAUUUACGGUGUAGCGGUGAAAUGCGUAGAUAUCAGGAGGAACACCGAUGGCGAAGGCAGGUCUCUGGGCAUUAACUGACGCUGAGGAGCGAAAGCAUGGGGAGCGAACAGG
rnacentral:rRNA from 1 species